rnacentral:rRNA from 1 species
AAUCAACGCUGGCGGCGUGCCUAACACAUGCAAGUCGAACGAGAAAGUGGAGCAAUCCAUGAGUAAAGUGGCGACCGGGUGAGUAACACGUGACUAACCUACCUUCGAGUGGGGAAUAACCUCGGGAAACCGGGGCGUAAUACCGCAUAACAUCGCGAGGUGAGAUUCCUUGUGAUCAAAGGAGCAAUACGCUUGAAGAGGGGGUCGGCGGCGU